ACUAUUAGUACAGCCUGCUCUAUGUAAAAUAAAUGGCCGCAGACAUUCUGUGCUAAGGUAGCAUAAUAAAUUGCCUUUUAAUUUUAGGCUAGAAUGAAAGGUAUAACAUAUUGUUUUCUUUAUUAAACAAACUCAUUGAAUUUAACCUUUUAGUAAAAAGGCUAAAAUUUUUAAGAGGACGACAAGACCCUGACAAACUUUACAUUUUCGUUUUACUGGGGGGGUAAAAAAACCCAAUCUUUUUUAUUAUAAACAACAAAAAGAUUUUAUUUUUUUCAAGUUACUGCAGGGAUAACAGCAUAAUUUUUUCUAAAAGUCCUUAUUUAAGAAAAAGUCUGUGACCUCGAUGUUGAAUUAGAUUACUAUCGGGAGAAAAAUCUUUAUAAGUGAGUCUGUUCGACUUUUAAUUUUCUACAUGAUUUGAGUUCAGACCGGCGUAAGCCAGGUCGGUUUCUAUCUCUUUUUUUUAAUCUUUAGUACGAAAGGACCAAGACUAAUUUAUUAUUU
rnacentral:rRNA from 1 species